CUUCUCUUCAGUAUUGUACCUCUCUUCAAUCCCUUGAUCUCUCUGGUAACUCCCUUUCCGGUUCACUCCCGGUUCAACUCUGUUCUUGGUUGCCUUAUCUUGUUAAUCUUGAUUUAUCUGGUAAUUCUUUCUCCGGUUCCAUACCUCCUGAGUUUAUUAACUGCAAAUUCUUGAACACCCUUUUGCUAAAUGACAAUAAACUUACUGGUUCGGUCCCGUUUGAGAUUGGCCGGCCUCUUUCUCUGGUUCCAUACCUCCUGAGUUUAUUUACUGCAAAUUCUUGAAUACCCUUUUGCUAAAUGACAAUAAACUUACUGGUUCGAUCCCUUUUGAGAUUGGCCGGCUUGACCGGUUGAAACGGUUCAGUGUGUCAAACAAUGGUCUUACAGGUCCGGUUCC
rnacentral:lncRNA from 1 species